CUACAGAGAAGACUAGUUUACUAUAGACUUGUUGAAUGUUUGACCUUGAUGUAAUGAGACUUAAAGGGCAAUUGAAGUAUGAUUGUAAUGUUAUCAAAGUAAAAAAUCACAUUUUCCAAAAAGCAAAUCAGAGAUUUCCUGACAAAGAUGUUUUCAUGAAUAUUUAUUUUUUCGGAAGAAUCCUGAUUAUCCAAAGCAAGGUAGAUCAAGGGAGCUUUGAUAAUCAAAAACACCUACAGAGAAGACUAGUUUACUAUAGACUUGUUGAAUGUUUGACCUUGAUGUAAUGAGACUUAAAGGGCAAUUGAAGUAUGAUUGUAAUGUUAUCAAAGCAAAAAAUCACAUUUUCCAAAAAGCAAAUCAGAGAUUUCCUGACAAAGAUGUUUUCAUGAAUAUUUUUCCAGAAGAAUCCUGAUUAUCCAAAGUAAGGUGGAUCAAGGGAGCUUGGAUAAUCAAAAACA
rnacentral:lncRNA from 1 species